rnacentral:rRNA from 1 species
GAUGAACGCUAGCUGCAGGCUUAACACAUGCAAGUCGAGGGACCGGCGCCCGGGUGAGUAACACGUAUCCAACCUGCCCUUUACUCGGGGAUAGCCUUUCGACAGCAAGAUUAAUACCCGAUAUAAAGGAUGGGGAUGCGUUCCAUUAGGUUGUUGGUGAGGUAACGGCUCACCAAGCCUUCGAUGGAUAGGGGUUCUGAUAGGAAGGCCCCCUACAUUGGAAAUGAGACACGGUCCAAACGCCUACGGGAGGCAGCAGUGAGUAAGAGUGGGCAAUGGGCGGUAGCCUGAACCAGCCAAGUAGAGUGAAGGAUGAAUGCUUAUGGGUCGUAAACUUCUUGUAUAUAAGAAGAUGUAUUAUAUGAAUAAGGAUUGGCUAACUCCGUGCCAGCAGCCGCGGUAAUUC